UAUGUCAUGGGAAGGUGUUAGGCACCCACAACAUCCUAGGUACUCCUAGGGAGCCCUUUUCACAACUUAUUGUAUUGUUAUUGUUUAUGAAAGUAUUUUUGUGCAAACAUGAUUGGAGAGAUGAGAGAAGAAUAUACAAGUUUAUUUACAUUUUGUGUUUGGAUGGAUGAACCCAUUGCCUACGUACCUUUUCAUGAAAGAUAAGG
rnacentral:lncRNA from 1 species